UACGGAGGAUGCAAGCGUUAUCCGGAAUGAUUGGGCGUAAAGCGUCCGUAGGUGGCUACUCAAGUCUGCUGUUAAAGCGCAGGGCUUAACCCUGUAAAGGCGGUGGAAACUGGAGAGCUAGAGUGUGGUAGGGGUAGAGGGAAUUCCCGGUGUAGCGGUGAAAUGCGUAGAGAUCGGGAAGAACACCAGUGGCGAAAGCGCUCUACUGGGCCACAACUGACACUGAUGGACGAAAGCUAGGGGAGCGAAUGGG
rnacentral:rRNA from 1 species